rnacentral:lncRNA from 1 species
ACAUCGAUCCCAAAAUAAACUACAUUUCACCAGCCGCAAAAUACUUGCACCAAAAAUCAAAGUCCGCCAAAACCACAGCUAAAAUCUUGAUGCAGCAACAAAAUCCAAAUUGAUAGUACCUGCAAACAAACAUAACACAGAUAACAAACUAUGGCAUGUUAAUAGUCUUUAAUGCCACCGUGCCAGAAUAUUCAUCCAAAUUAAAUUAAGAUGCACAAUCUAUUUUGAGAGGAUGAACAAAUUAUUCUAUGAAUCCAAUCUAUGGAAGCCCUACCUUAUGCUGCUCUAAGCCACACCAAGGUUCAACAUUGAUUAAACUUUUAUCACAACCAAUUGUGCAUGAUAUAAAGGAACAAGUUUGACAACAUAAUAAAAAUAAAGCUAACUCGUAAUAUAAAUAAGGCUAAGUCAAUGAGAAGUUUUUAUCAUCUUGGUAUAGACACUUUAUUGAAAUUUGUUACAGAGGAUAAUUUAUUUACAUAAUCUACUAGAGAAGCUUGUGCCGACUACAAUUAUUUAUAUAAAAGCUAGAUGAAAGCUAGACAGAAUGAGUUCUAGGUAAUUAUAGACAACAAGUAUUAUUGCAGUAUUUUGCUAAAUUAGAACAAAAAUUCACCUUUGUACAAUUAUGCCUAGACUUGAAACAAGAGCAUGCAUUGUGCAGGUAUGAAGGUCACGUGCAUUUGCCAUAGUCUUGACAAGUGACCUCUUCAAAGCAAAUGUAGCUGGGAUGUUUCGGGGGACAUGACACACAACAUGUAUGGCAACGAUUGGAGCAACAAACCGACAUAAGAACAGAUCAAAAAUUUUCCCUACUGAGAAUUCAUGUGCAUUAUCAAUUUAUAUAUAAUUCAUUGAAUUUCAUUUUAACAUGCAAUUUUUCAAAAAGAAAGUAAGUUUGAUCAGUGAAACUCAAACAAACAAAAGAUCACAUGCUGCAUUUAGUUUUGGGAAAUUUAAAAUUCAUUGAAAGACUAGAAAGCCAAUUAGGGGCAUGGAUGCCUUGCUAAAUAUGCUAGUUAUUUUUAAAAGGUUACAGCCUAAAAUGCAGGCUUAUAGCUAAUAAAGUUAAAGCUAAAGCAACUUUAAUUCAUAUGGAAAAUAAAUAAUUUUCAUGUUUAUGUCUGACAAGAAAGCGAAAGAGAGAGUAUAGACCAAAUAAUAUAAGGCUUGAAGUUUCUAGUUAGCAUAUUACUCAAUAUAAUGCUGCAGAAAUUUUAUUUACCUCUAAAGUACUUCUUGACAUGGCCAAUAUCAUAUUUGCCUACAGCUCCAAUUGACUCAAUCUCCAUCAUACUCUUCUUUUGUGUUGUCAUAUGACGAGUUGCACCCUGAGAACAAGUAAAAGAAGAUAUAGUCCCUUUUGAAGGGCAGACCUUGUCGGUUAAUGGAGAUGUGAGGAUUUGUAUACUGAGUAAGCAACGACCUGGAAAUUACCUUUCAAUAUCUAUAAUAUCACCAUUUCUCAAAGGUAAAAAGACACUGAUUGUAUCCUUGAAUUCACUCUCAUAGAUCCUUGAAUUCACUCUCAUAGCUUUCAUCUUUCUUCCUAUAAUAGACAGAAACCAAUAAUCACUUGUCGAUGAUUAAGCAAAAUAUAACUACCAUUUAGCAUAGAGAUCAACCCAUUAGUUUAGGGAUAUUGACAGAGGAAGGGAACCACAAUUUAAUGCCUCUUGCACCAACAACAGCACCCAAGUAAAACAUAUUGAAUUUUUUUAAGAUAUAAGAAUAAACUUCAAACUACAAAUAAGGGUCAAAAGGAUGAAAUUGAAGAUUAACAAGAUGAAACAGAGACACAGGCAUAUGGAAAUAACUAACAUGUAAUGACCACAGAUUAAACCUUGGUUGAUUCCACCAAUUACCAAAAAGAUCAUAUUCCACUGAAACUAUAAAAAAUGCUUAAGAGUUAAAAUCUAAAUGUAAAAUCACAAAUAACAGUAAAUUUUUACUACCCGUAAAGAAAAUGGUCCCUAGAUAGUGCUAAUGACACAUAAUCUAUAAGCGUCCCUAAGUAACAAGAACCAUUAGUAAAGGUUGUAUUACUAUCAUCAAGCAUAACUAUACUGUAUUAGAUUUACACAUCAUAGGGGUAUACAAUACAAGCAUCUCUUACAACUGAUAAAAGUUAAUAAUAAGAAACAAAAAGAAUAAAAUUCAUCAUUUUCUAAGAAAACUCAUAGCUAUAUUCCUCUUACAGAUUACAGAACCUUACAAGAAUAGUUAACUACUAGAUGCAGCUUAGUUUCUUCAUGCUAAGUCAAAUUCUUAUUGAGUUAACCCACCAACUCAUAAUCCAACUCUCACCUUCGUGCCUCUUUAGUCAAAUCAGAAAAGACCUGCAAAAAUUAAUCAAUUAAUUAUAGUUGCAUUGAUUCCAAUUUUAAAGCUAAUCAAUUUUAGAAAUCCACUAACUUAUUUUCCUUACAUUUUAGAAUUAAAAUAAAAUAACAAAAACUAAUCAAACAAGCGAAAGCAAACCAACCUAACGGGCAGCCAAUACAUUGAAGCCACUAGGAUUUCUUUGCAAAUCUUUGAUCAAAGCAAAAGCAACCUUCUCAUCUCCCUUGCUUGGCUCCCUUUCUUAAAAAUUAGAAGUCUAUUUGCUAUCAACAACGUUCAUAGGCACGGCAACAACAAGCGUUCUUUGAGAGAGCGAUUUACAGUUAUUGAGGCUGCGAUUGUGGUUUUUUGCUGUAACUUCAUUCAUGGUGACUGUAGAUGUGAGCAUUUACCUAGGUCGAUUGCGAGUGGCUGUGGCCUUAUGUGGAUUAACGGUGGCUGUGGCCUUAUGUGGAUUAACGGUGGCUGUGAGGACGCUAGGGUUUCAAGUGGUUUUGUGAGAGAAGAGUUCAGUGAGAGAGUGUGUGGUGGCCUCAACACUUAGAAAAAAAGAUCGAGGGUAUCUUUUUAAUUUAAACUCUUUAUGUUUAUUUUUAAUUUAUA